rnacentral:rRNA from 1 species
CCCUUAGAUGUUCUGGACCGCACGCGCGCUACACUGACGGAGGCAGCGAGCGUGUCCUUCGCCGGCAGGUGCGGGCAAUCUUGCGAGUCUCCGUCGUGCUGGGGAUAGAUGGUUGCAAUUGUCGAUCUUGAACGAGGAAUUCCUAGUAAGCGCGAGUCAUCAGCUCGCGCUGAUUACGUCCCUGCCCUUUGUACACACCGCCCGUCGCUACUACAGAGUGCCCGUGUCCAAGAAACGGUCGGACCUGUGCGGCCUCUCCGGGCGACCGGAGGGCCGUUACGGGGAAGACCCUUUAUUUGACGCGGGUCGAUGAAGUAAAAGUCGUAACA